rnacentral:rRNA from 1 species
AUUGAACGCUGGCGGCAUGCCUUACACAUGCAAGUCGAACGGCAGCACGGGAGCAAUCCUGGUGGCGAGUGGCGAACGGGUGAGUAAUAUAUCGGAACGUGCCCGGUCGUGGGGAUAACGUAGCGAAAGCUACGCUAAUACUGCAUACGAUCUACGGAUGAAAGCGGGGGAUCGCAAGACCUCGCGCGAUUGGAGCGGCCGAUAUCAGAUUAGGUAGUUGGUGAGGUAAAGGCUCACCAAGCCGACGAUCUGUAGCUGGUUUGAGAGGAUGAUCAGUCACACUGGAACUGAGACACGGUCCAGACUCCUACGGGAGGCAGCAGUGGGGAAUAUUGGACAAUGGGCGAAAGCCUGAUCCAGCCAUGCCGCGUGUGUGAAGAAGGUCUUCGGAUUGUAAAGCACUUUAAGUUGGGAGGAAGGGUAGUAACCUAAUACGUUGUCUACUUUGACGUUACGUACAGAAUAAGCACCGGCUAAC